rnacentral:tmRNA from 1 species
GCCCGUCCGCCACUUGUCUGCGUGAUGGCGGGGGCCGAGAAACUCAGCUGCAGACUGCACACGGAGAAGCCCUGGUUCCACGUCAUCGGACGCGGGUUCGAUUCCCGCCACCUCCACCC